AACGAACGCUGGCGGCAGGCCUAACACAUGCAAGUCGAACGCCGGUAGCCAAUACGGAGUGGCAGACGGGUGAGUAACACGUGGGAACAUACCCUUCGGUUCGGAAUAACUCAGGGAAACUUGAGCUAAUACCGGAUACGUCCGCGAGGAGAAAGAUUCAUCGCCGGAGGAUUGGCCCGCGUCUGAUUAGCUUGUUGGUGGGGUAACGGCUCACCAAGGCGACGAUCAGUAGCUGGCUGAGAGGAUGAUCAGCCACAUUGGGACUGAGACACGGCCCAAACUCCUACGGGAGGCAGCAGUGGGGAAUAUUGGACAAUGGGCGCAAGCCUGAUCCAGCCAUGCCGCGUGAGUGAUGAAGGCCCUAGGGUUGUAAAGCUCUUUUACCCGGGAAGAUAAUGACUGUACCGGGAGAAUAAG
rnacentral:rRNA from 1 species